AGGAUUAGGGUUAUAGGGAGCUCAAUUCACCUUCAGCCGCCGUCAAACGGCGUUCUCGCCGGCGGCGGCGACAUUGCCAAGAACGUGUUUUGGAUCAGAUCUGAAUUUAUCUCAAGCUGCUUAACAAAUGGCAUGCUAAUUCUGUUGGAGUAUUCUUGUCAUUUCACUAGUAACUUCAAAAAUUAUAAGAUUAAUUAGUCUUUUCCAGCAUAUUACAGUGUCCUACUUUGGUUGCUUGCUGUAAUUUUUAUUUUACUUGCAAAUUACAAUGUACUUAUCUUAAAGAACAGUGUUUUGCUUUAUAUAUCAAGCAAGCCAUGUUAAGAUAAAAGAUCAAACUGUAUUUUGAGAUACAACUUUUUAAAAGUUCCUGGGCCACUAUUUCUUUUUGAGAAUGGUAACAAAUUUUAUUCACCGGCACAAAGAUUAUGCUGGCAACAGUAUUUAUAGGGUACUAAUACUAUCCGUGUGAACUUUACAAGGCUUCCAAAAAUUGUAGAAUAGAUUCUUCAUCUCCUACUGAAAACUCUUUACACCAAAAGUAAAAAUUUAAAAUACAAUUCAUUUUAACUACUUGUAUGGAGCUACUCCUGUCUUCAAAACAUGUGUUAUUUCUUUCCUUCCAUAUGGUCCACCAAAUGCAAGCUGGGAUAAUCCUCCACCAUUUUUUCUGAACGACCAUUUUACCAGCAUAGUUCCAAGCUUUCCGUAGAUCACAUGUGUUUCCCGGCAUUAUCCAUUUCAAAUUUACCAGGGCCAAAAAUAGAUUCCAUAGUUGGGAAGUGAAAGCACAAUGGAGAAAGAGAUGAGAUGGCUAUUGUUUUCAGAUUCAGCUUUGCAGAGGAAGCAUCUGGAGGUUAAUUGCAUACCCCUUCUCUGAAGCUUUGAUGCUAUCAAAUGGACUUUCCUUGUCUAUUACUUGCAUACACCAAAACUAGAUAGAGGAAGAAGAUGCUAAUGGAACUCUUGACUUGCAAGACCAAAUAGAAAUCAUUUGCUCGUUUGAAGGAAUUGGUGCUAUACCUCGCCUAAAACUUUGGUCUGCAAAGUUGCUACUACAAACUAAAGAGCUUGUUGUCUUAUACCAGAUCGUGCUGACAGUGAGACAUGUUUCAGUUAUUUGUAUGACUAAAGCGUGAUCAAGAAGCUACUUGUCGUAUCUCACAACAACCAGUCUUCGAAAAUUGAUGAAAUAGUGGUUUGGAAGGUGAGGUAGAAAAAGCUUAUGAAGCCAUUUAGCUGAAUGUUCAAAUCAAUCGGUGACCACUUGGACUUGGCAAGGCAACUCUAACCAAGAACAUGUAUAAAUUGCAAGUACAUAACUAUUCACGAUGUUGUUUGAGCAUGGUAUCGGUUUCCCCAGUACAUAAGAGAAAUUCGUCACUUUAAAAUUUAAUUGAAGGAAAUAACUUAAUUUUUGACAAAUUUCUUUUCUCACAUACUUGUGAAAUGCAACACCAUGCUCAAAUAUUGAGUGAAAAGUUAUGCGUCUGUAAUUAUAUAUUUUCUUGGCUAGAGUUGUCUUGCCAAGUCAAGUAUCCAAUUGAUUUGAACCUUUGGGUCGGUGGCUUCAUGAUCUUCUUAUGCCUCAGCUUCAUAAUCUACCACUAUUUCAUCAAUUCUCGGAGAGUGUGCUCUUAACAUACAAUCCAGACCAUUUCCCCUUAGAAGCUAAAUGUUGACAUUGAUAUGGUUGUUUCGUCGUUGAUAUUUGAUGAUUUGCACUUGAAAAUGAACAAGAGGGAGGAAAUUACUUAACAUUUUAAGUUUGUAUGGAAAUUGUUGGCACUAUUGUAGGAUUGGCGAAAAAGAAUAUUUGGAUUUAAGUUGCAUGUCUGGGAAUUUGGAUAUUGUAUGACCUGAGUGUAACUGUAUUUUUUCAGUUU